UACGAACCGUCCAAACGUUAUUCGGAAUCACUGGGCUUAAAGGGUGCGUAGGCGGCUCAGAAAGUAGGGUGUGAAAUCCCUCGGCUCAACCGAGGAAUUGCGCCCUAAACUACUGGACUCGAGGAAGACAGAGGUAAGCGGAACUUACGGUGGAGCGGUGAAAUGCGUUGAUAUCGUAAGGAACACCAGGAGCGAAAGCGGCUUACUGGGUCUUUUCUGACGCUGAGGCACGAAAGCUAGGGGAGCGAACGGG
rnacentral:rRNA from 1 species